AACGCAAAUUGCACUCUCGGGUAUCCCCGGGAGUACGCUUCUUUCAGUAUCGGUUCUAUCUAAACUCGCCUGCGUUUUGAUUAACAAAGGCGGAAAUUGAGCGUCAGGCUUUGAACGAAGCUUGUUGCUUGAAGGAUAGAAGCGGUAGUUUCUAUUUCUCGUUCACGAGAACUCUAGUGCGCCUUCUCUUCCUUCGGAAGGGCUGAUGCAAACUGAGUGACGUGGUUAAGUUCGCCUUCGUGCGACACCACCAUCGUCUCUAAUCUCAGUGCGCUACAGUUGGCACGCUUUGAGCGGAAACAUCACACUGCUUUGGAAUAAUAACCCAAAACAAAAUCAGAUCUGAAAUGAAGUGAGAGGACCCGCUGAACUUAA
rnacentral:misc_RNA from 1 species